rnacentral:rRNA from 1 species
UGCAAGUCGAACGACGUUCUGAUUAUUGAAAGGUGCUUGCAUCUUGAUUUAAUUUGGAACGAGUGGCGGACGGGUGAGUAACACGUGGGUAACCUGCCCUUAAGUGGGGGAUAACAUUUGGAAACAGAUGCUAAUACCGCAUAAAUCCAAGAACCGCAUGGUUCUUGGCUGGAAGAUGGCGUAAGCUAUCGCUUUUGGAUGGACCCGCGGCGUAUUAGCUAGUUGGUGAGGUAACGGCUCACCAAGGCAAUGAUACGUAGCCGAACUGAGAGGUUGAUCGGCCACAUUGGGACUGAGACACGGCCCAAACUCCUACGGGAGGCAGCAGUAGGGAAUCUUCCACAAUGGACGCAAGUCUGAUGGAGCGACGCCGCGUGAGUGAAGAAGGCUUUCGGGUCGUAAAACUCUGUUGUUGGAGAAGAAUGGUCGGCAGAGUAACUGUUGUCGGCGUGACGGUAUCCAACCAGAAAGCCACGGCUAACUACGUGCCAGCAGCCGCGGUAAUACGUAGGUGGCAAGCGUUAUCCGGAUUUAUUGGGCGUAAAGCGAGCGCAGGUGGUUUUUUAAGUCUGAUGUGAAAGCCCUCGGCUUAACCGAGGAAGUGCAUCGGAAACUGG